AAAAAGUUAAGACUGGUGAGCGCAUUCCCACUGAAAGAAAUCUGUUGAACAUUACUAACAUCAACCAAGCUCAAGCUGGAGAAUACAGGUGCACUGCAAACAACACUUGUGGAGAGGCAUCUACAGUGGUGGACAUUGACGUCCGGUAUGAGCCAGACAUAGUUACCUUGGUAACUAACACAACUGAGAACAAGGACUGUAGUCCUGAUUUGUGGGUGAAUUUCACGUGCAUCUCAUCUGAAGCCAAUCCACCAGUUUAUAAUUAUCUGCUCUCUGAUAAUGAAGAUGGAUCCAGGUUUAGUAAGAGUGGUACAUGGAUAAAGAAGAUAUCAAGAGGAGGAAAAUUUGUCUAUAGUUACGCAGCAUAUCAACUUUUGGUGAAUAAGACAAGCAUAAACAACAUUACUUUGACAGUAAAUGGUAAGUUUGGAUUGUUCUGACAGAUUUCUUAGAACUCAAA